rnacentral:rRNA from 1 species
UACGGUAGGGCGCAAGCGUUAUCCGGAAUUAUUGGGCGUAAAGAGCUCGUAGGCGGUUUGUCGCGUCUGCCGUGAAAGUCCGGGGCUCAACUCCGGAUCUGCGGUGGGUACGGGCAGACUAGAGUGAUGUAGGGGAGACUGGAAUUCCUGGUGUAGCGGUGAAAUGCGCAGAUAUCAGGAGGAACACCGAUGGCGAAGGCGGGAUCCUGGGCCAGUACUGACGCUGAGGAGCGAAAGCGUGGGGAGCAAACAGG